UACGUAGGGGGCAAGCGUUGUCCGGAAUCAUUGGGCGUAAAGCGCGCGUAGGCGGCCCGAUAAGUCCGCUGUAAAAGUCCAGGGCUCAACCCUGGAAAGCCGGUGGAUACUGUCGGGCUAGAGUCCGGAAGAGGCGAGUGGAAUUCCUGGUGUAGCGGUGAAAUGCGCAGAUAUCAGGAGGAACACCGAUGGCGAAGGCAGGUCUCUGGGCCAUAACUGACGCUGAGAAGCGAAAGCAUGGGGAGCGAACAGG
rnacentral:rRNA from 1 species